ACGAACGCUGGCGGCGCGCCUAACACAUGCAAGUCGAACGCGAAAGGGGGCUUCGGCUCCCGAGUAGAGUGGCGAACGGGUGAGUAACACGUGGGUGACCUGCCCCGGGGUGGGGGAUAACGCGCCGAAAGGCGCGCUAAUACCGCAUGAGCCCUGGAAGUCGGAUUGUAGGGGAAAGCUCAAAGGAGAGAUCUUUUGGGCGCCGUGGGAGGGGCCCGCGGCCGAUUAGCUAGUUGGUGAGGUAAGGGCUUACCAAGGCGACGAUCGGUAGCCGGUCUGAGAGGACGGACGGCCACACUGGAACUGAGAGACGGUCCAGACUCCUACGGGAGGCAGCAGUGGGGAAUUUUGCGCAAUGGCCGCAAGGCUGACGCAGCAACGCCGCGUGGAGGAAGAAGGUCUUCGGAUCGUAAACUCCUGUCCGAGGGGACGAAAGAGAUGACGGUACCCUUGGAGGAAGCCCCGGCCAACUCCGUGCCAGCAGCCGCGGUAAUACGGGGGGGGCGAGCGUUGUUCGGAAUUACUGGGCGUAAAGGGCGCGUAGCGGCCCGGGUAGUCUCGGGUGAAAGUCCUCGGCUUAACCGGGGAAGGGCCUGAGAAACCACUGGGCUAGAGUGCUGGAGAGGGGAGCGGAAUUCCCGGUGGAGCGGUGAAAUGCGUAGAAAUCGGGAGGAAGAUCGGCGGCGAAGGCGGCUUUCUGGACAGACACUGACGCUGAGGCGCGAAAGCCAGGGGAGCAAACGGGAUUAGAUACCCCGGUAGUCCUGGCUGUAAACGAUGGGCACUAGGCGUGGGGGGUAGAACAGUCCCUCGGCGCCGGCGGAAACCCGCUAAGUGCCCCGCCUGGGGAGUACGGCCGCAAGGCUGAAACUCAAAGGAAUUGACGGGGGCCCGCACAAGCGGUGGAGCAUGUGGUUUAAUUCGACGCAACGCGAAGAACCUUACCGGGGUUUGAACUGUCGUUGCCGCCACGCGAGAGCGUGGGUUCCUUUCGGGGACAGUGACAGAGGUGCUGCAUGGCUGUCGUCAGCUCGUGUCGUGAGAUGUUGGGUUAAGUCCCGCAACGAGCGCAACCCUUGUCGGUAGUUGCCAACAGGUGAAGCUGGGCACCCUACCGAGACUGUCGGCGAAAAGCCGGAGGAAGGUGGGGAUGACGUCAAGUCCUCAUGGCCUUUAUGCCCCGGGCGACACACGUGCUACAAUGGGCGGUACAAAGGGGAGCGAGCGGGUGACUGCAAGCGAAUCCCAAAAAGCCGCUCACAGUUCAGAUCGCAGUCUGCAACUCGACUGCGUGAAGGUGGAAUCGCUAGUAAUCGCGGAUCAGCAUGCCGCGGUGAAUACGUUCCCGGCGCCUUGUACACAC
rnacentral:rRNA from 1 species